rnacentral:lncRNA from 1 species
AUGAGUUAUAUAAUCAAUACAGAAUGUAGUCAAGACACGUCAGUUUGGUCCAAAAUCCCAAAACUACUUACUACACUGCACGGGACAACCCGGGGAUCACGCCAUUUAGGUCUUCGAAAAGAAUACUUGCAGAGAUCAAAACGAGACGGUGGGCUAUCUCUCCCUAAUUUUCGUUAUUAUUAUUGGGCCUCUAACCUUUGUUGCAUGUCUUUUUGGAUGCAUUAUUCUGAGAAUACAGGGCCUCCAUGGGUGGAGAUGGAGAAGUUGUCAUUGAGACCUUUAUCACUGUCAUAUGUAAUGGGUGCUCCACUUCCACUGUCAGAACCCCUGACCACUCAUAACCCUGUAGUGCGUGACUCAAUUAAAAUAAUUCAGCAAUUUAGGAAACACUUUGGGCUUUUACGAAUGAGCCUAUUUACUCCGAUAGCAUCAAAUCCUUCCUUUUCACCCUCUUUGUCAGAUAUCACUUUUCAAAGAUGGCACCAAGCUGGUCUGAAAUGUUUCAAUGAUCUUUUUGUUGAAAACCAACUGGCAUCUUUUCAACAACUGUCCAAUAAGUAUAAAUUGUCGCCAUCACACUUUUUUAGAUAUUUACAAGUACGUCAUUAUAUGAUGACAUUAAUCCCAGACUUUCCAAACAAACCCCCUAAGAAUGUAUUUUAUGACAUUUUCAUACUCAACCCAACUCAAAAGAAGUCCAUCAAGAAAAUACUUAACAUGUUUCCACACAUGUCUCCCUCCAUGCAAGCCAUUAAAACGUGCUGGGAAAAAGAUCUGCAAAUCAUUAUAAAAGACUCAGAAUGGGAUGAAAUUAUGACAAAAGUCAAUUCAUCUUCCAUGUGUGAGAGGCACCGCCUUAUACAGUUUAAAAUAGUUCACCGUGUACACCUUCCCAAAUCUAAACUCGCUAAAAUGUAUCCGCAAAUCGAUUCUACAUGUGACAGAUGUAAAUCAUCAGAAGCCACUUUAAUUCAUAUGUUUUGGUCCUGUGCUUUUGGAGAGAUGUAUGUGAUGCUUUUUCCUGUAUGUUUGGGAUUAAUGUACCACCGAAUCCAUUGA